rnacentral:rRNA from 1 species
GGGGAAUAUUGGACAAUGGGCGCAAGCCUGAUCCAGCCAUGCCGCGUGAGUGAUGAAGGCCCUAGGGUUGUAAAGCUCUUUCACCGAUGAAGAUAAUGACGGUAGUCGGAGAAGAAGCCCCGGCUAACUUCGUGCCAGCAGCCGCGGUAAUACGAAGGGGGCUAGCGUUGUUCGGAAUUACUGGGCGUAAAGCGCACGUAGGCGGAUUGGUCAGUUAGGGGUGAAAUCCCAGGGCUCAACCCUGGAACUGCCUUUAAUACUGGCAGUCUAGAGUUCGAGAGAGGUGAGUGGAAUUCCGAGUGUAGAGGUGAAAUUCGUAGAUAUUCGGAGGAACACCAGUGGCGAAGGCGGCUCACUGGCUCGAUACUGACGCUGAGGUGCGAAAGCGUGGGGAGCAAAC